UUGCGGCUUGUGGGAAGAGCUACCGCAACUGUACAACCGUGAGAAAAGCUUGUGAAUUCUUGCUGUCAAAACAAUUGCCUUGUGGCGGAUGGGGGGAGAGCUAUUUGUCUAGCCAGAAUAAGGUGCGCAAGUCAUUAUAUAUUUUUUGCAUACUAUAGAGAUUAAAAAAAUAUAAUCCCUUUGUUAUGACUGUCGAUAAUUAAUUUUAUAUAACGAUGUAAAUGUAGGUUUACACAAAUUUGGAAGGAAACCGACCAAACUUGGUUCAGACAGCAUGGGCUUUGUUGUCCCUCAUUGAUGCAGGACAGGUGAGGAUUUAGCAGAUAUAUGACAUGAUACACCGGCUAUAAAGCCAAUUCGUUGAACAAUUAUUGGGGUGCACCGGAUUUGUGCGGGCUGCCUGCCCGAACGACAUGCACGUACGCACGCAAGCAAUGUUUGAUAAGUGAUACGUAACAAUGAAUUAUUGACAUUUUAAGCUAACCGGCACACCUGAUCAAGAUUAGCGAAGAAAAUGUUGCAUAAAAAUAGCAAUGGAUUUGUCCAUUUUGAUAAUUAUGAGAUAAGCACGUACUUUCUAUCGACCCAAUCAUGCUUAUGAUUAUUUACUUAUUUAUUCAUUCUUAUUCUAGGCCGAGAUAGAUGCAACCCCUAUACAUCGUGGUGUCAAAGUGCUAAUCAAUUCACAGAUGGAUGAUGGUGAUUUUCCUCAACAGGUAAUCACAAUAGUGCUUUCCGUCAUCGUUACUAGUUAUAAGUUUCAUUCUAAUGGAAUUGCUUAAUCUAAUCAUCAUCAUCAUCAUCAUCAUCAUCAUUAUUUACUUUUAUUGCUUACAGGAAAUCACUGGAGUAUUUAUGAGAAACUGCACAUUGAACUACUCAUCGUUUAGAAACAUCUUCCCAAUAUGGGCUCUUGGAGAAUACCGAAGGCGGGUUCUGUUCGCAUAAAGCUUUGGACAUGACGACAGCAAUAAAUCAUCAUUUAGAAGCUACAAGUUUGAUAAUUUAAAUAAUACAUAUUCCAAGAAUGUAAUGUGCCUUGCCGAGUCUCUUAUUUGCGUACGUCAAGUAACUGUACAAAUAUCAAGUGUACCGCUUAGCGAAGCUAAUUUCAUUUCUAGUGUGUAAUUCUACCAUCUAAACCUUUGGACCACACUACAAGAUGAAUCUCAAGUGUUUAGCAUUGGAUUUAUAUGGGGAAAUUGUUCAAUCAGUCCUAAAUAUAUUGUAUGGAUAUCAAUUCAGUUCUAAAUUUGCCCCUUUGGUCCUAAACAUUUGCGAAAAAUUCCAAUUUUUGCCGAAAGUUGCUGAUGCAGCAUUGUGUCUCAUAAGACAAUCGACAAUGACUGGAUUGCUAGGUCAACAAGUUUUGAUAAAAAUUAGUCAAAAAAACUAUAUAGAAUUUCACAAGGAAAAGUACAAAAAGUCUUAAACAUGUUACACUUGUAACGUUUCAAUCCUAAAUUUUUCAAUUGUACCUAUUGAGUCAUAAACUCAGUUUGUCAAUAUUAGUCUGUCUAACUAUUUUGACCAAAAAUUGCUGACAUAGACGCUAGUUGUCCUUUAUGGCAUAACCGGCACUAAUGUAAAUAAAUUUUACAAAUUUUUAAUAUCUUUUUCUAAAUUUUAUCUUUAUUGUUUUUUUUUUUUUAUUGUGGCUGGCGAGAGUCAACAAGGCGAGCCCUCAUGAGAUUCAACAAGGUAUGUCACACCCUAAUCCUCGAGUGCAUACCCAUCCCUCUAUGGUCGAUAAAAUUUUGCAACUUCCUAGGACGAGUUGCUGAUCCUUUCAUUUUAUUGCACAUGUGAAAACAAAUAAUAAAUCCCUUGAUAGUAACCAUCUCGAGAUAGAAAAGUAGGACAACGGAUUCACAAACAAACAUGCUUUUAUAAACAUAUUGAGUCAUUUACAAAAAGUCAACAAGCAAAGGCCUACAAAAGACUAACUCUCAAAAGGAGGUUGUCCUAUUUGACCUACACCUCAAAUCUUCUUAGCUCAGCUUCAGGUCUUCCACCCUACGGUCCUGAAAAUUUAAGCCCACUAUGGGGUGUGAUAUAAAUCUCAGCAAGUUCACGCUCUAAACCCUGAUUAGGAGGGUAAUACGCCUAGAAGCGUCCUAAUCACACAACCACACAAUUAGAGCAGAGAACUUACCUCAUCUCAGUUUCUUUUUAUAUGUCAGCACAGUUCAUAUCACAACCAUAUGCAUAUAGCAAUUUCACACAUCAAUUGGAACGUCUAAAUCAGUCACUGUUCACAUGAGCAAGAGUUACCGACACACGUCAGUCCAUCAAUUCAAUCAUAGGAGUUCUGAUUAUAUGGCCAAAUCGUUAUGGCACAUCUCAUUCCAUGCCACACAAUUUUAUUUCAUGAUCCGACGUAUCAAUUUCACUCAAUAUGCGUUCCAAUUAAUUACUACUACCCACACAGGUAGUUUUACCUGACACACACCGGUUCUCUAUCCACCGACACACAUUGGGGAUAGGUGAUGUUCACCAACACCCAUCGGGAGUGGGUUCUCUUAUCCUUUAAUGUCUACCAACACACACCGAGGACGGGUUCUCUUAACCUUUAACGUCCACCGACACACACCGGGAACGGUUCUCUUAACCUUUAACGUCCACCGACACACACCGAGGACAGUUCUCUUAACUUUUAACGUUCAUUGACACACACACCAGGGACGGUUAUCUUAAUCAGCACACGAUCAUUCAAUUUUGACCACGGACACCAUGCAUUGUAUUUAAAUACUUCAAUUAAAAUGGUGAAUCUGGCCUAUUUUCUAAGUAUUAAAAGUACACGGUAAAAUACUCGUUUGUGGGUACACGGUCAACUCAAUCCAGAAUAAGUGAUAUCCUCCAAUUUGAAAUCCUACUAUUUUAUAUAGUGCGUAAAACUAUUUUCAGUGUUAAAAUCCGAUAUCCGGAAUUUUCUAAAUAAAUAUCAAAAUUCACAAUUUUUGGAAUUAAAUACUCAAAAUUCCAAUCAGCACUUAAUUUGCACAAAUUAGCACCAGUUGCAGAAACUAACCAUAUCAUUGUAAUCAACAUGAAAUUCCGGUCACUAGCUAUCCCGGUCUAAGGAAAAAUUUAAUAAUUAAAUAAUUUCUAAAAUUAAUUAAAUAAUUCAAUUUAAAUGCUAAAAAUACCAACAUAGGCCGAAAUUGCUAAAUUAAAUACCGAAACGGGCCCGGAAAAUUCCUGAACCAAUCUAGAUAAAUAAUACGAUUUAUCUAGGCCAUAGUUAAUCUAAUCUAACCACCUAACAUGCAUAAUUAACUAAUUAAAUUGCUAAUCUAAUCUAACUAACUACCUAAUCCCUAAUUAAUGUAACUAAAUACCCCUUAAACAUCAUUAACCUACUAAGAAGAGUUUAGUGCAUAAACUCACCGGUUUGUUGCGGAAACCGGUUCACCGCGAUGACGGCGUGACGGCGGCUGAAACUUGGGUUUGCGGCGGCGUCUACACACUUGAACCGGGCCUAAAAUUGGCCCAACAAAUCUCAGCCCAAUCUGAGAUUUGUUAUUGAGUUGGGCUGGGCUUGCUUUGCGGGCUUGGGCUGCUGAUUUGGACUGAAGACACAAGCUUCAAGUGGGUUGGAUUGCGACUGAAAUCCACUUGGGCUGCUGGCAUGAGCGGGCUGGAAAUUUCGUGGGUCUCUGCUGGGGUUUUGGGCUGAAGCUUGGGCCGAACUGCUGCUGUGAAGAUGGGCCGAAGAAAACGCGCGUGCUUCAAAUGACGUGGCUUCGAUGGGUCGUGAGCUGAGAAGUCCGAAGCAGCGAAGGAAGAGCUACUUCGGUUGGGGGACGUGCGGGCGCUGGCAGCUUGAAGUGAAGGCUCGGUGGAUGGAGAUGGCACACGGCAGCAAGCUGGGAGAUUCGGUGGUCUUCAGCUGGGAAGUUUUGACCGAACAAAACGCCACGUGAAGCUGGACUUCGGUGGAGAGCUUCGGGCUUCGCUGGCAGCUUGAGAUCGGUGGUGCUUCGGUGGAGUCUUCGAGUGGCUGAAGUCCACGGGUGUUAAUGCGCUGAGGAAAUCGAGCAGAUAGACCUCGGUGGACGCUGGAUACGUGGAGAUUUGUGGUCAACGUUGGGGAGAGCUUCACCGAUUGUUGACUCAAUUGGGAACAGAACUUGGUAGAGGAUGAGUGGCUUCGGUUCGGUGGGAAGCUACUCGGUCUUCGUUGAAGAUGGUUGACCGAACAAACAAGAGACAAGGUGAUGGGGCGGCAGAGAGAGAGAGGCUUCGGGUAAAGAGCAAAUGGCAGAAUGAAAUUGCAAGGGGAAAUGAAAUAGAAGAAGAGCAGAGAGGGAUGGUCGAUGGAGGGAAUGCACGAAGGAGGAGAGAGAGGAUGGAUGAGGAAGAGAGAUGAAGCAAAAG
rnacentral:lncRNA from 1 species